GCAACUUUCACUUAGAUCCUUCUACCAAUGGUGUAUAAAGCAACCCAUUGCCUCAAAGCAAUGGGAAAGUUUAGAGAAAUUAAAGAUGGAAGGCUAAAUGCUUAGGGGGAAAAAAAAACAGAGCAAGUGGUGUUCUUGAACCAGGAAAAGUAAAGGCUGGUUUCUACUGAGGCUAGCCUUCCAGUGCCCCUGGGUUAUUAUGUAAAGUAGACCACUCAACCUUGCUCUUGGUGGCACUCUGAAAAAUGUUAACCCUGCCCUGGUGCACCUGGGGACCCACACCCUACUGACCAAAACAGGCGUGGGAGGAGCAGGGUUUAAAGAGAUUAAUAGUAGAGGUGUUAGUUGCUCAGUCGUGUCCGACUCUUUUGCGACUCUACAGACUGUACCCUGCCAGGGUCCUCUGUCCAUGGGAUUCUCCAGGCAUGAGUACUGGAGUGGGUUGGCAAACCCAGAAGCAAAAAAUCAGAGAGAGGAGAGAAAAACAGGAGGAGAACACAAUAGAGUGGGUGGGAUGGUAGUCUUUGCAGCUCUGAGCCGGCCUAAGCCACGAGGAGAAUCUGACCCCAGAGCUAUCAGAAGUCACUGCUUGGUGCUCGCAGUUUAAAUGUAGUUUUCACUAGUUGUAGCCAGUGGAGUAGAAGCUAGAGUCACUGGCACCUUUGCUGAGGUGUGAUUAGCAUACCUGUAGGCCCAUGUUAAGGACUGAGUCAGCAGCCACAGCUCAACACGGCCUGAAAGUUCUCUGCCAUUGAAAAGAGUAAUCUAAAUCAAAAGCAAAAAAAUUUGUUUUGGGGUGACAAAAUCUCCCGUCUGUAAGGGGAAAAAAAAUUCAACUCUUGGUGGCUGUGAGAAUGAGGUCUCAAAAGUGAUAGCUCUGAGACAGAAAAUGGAAGUUUGCACUAAAUAAAGUAUCUCGGUGUAAAAGGUGGGUGGUAGGAGGCAGUUCUGUGAGGAAGCAGUAAAAGUGAGCAUUCAAGUCAGGGUAAAAUCGCUGAAGUGAGAGACAGAGCUUCAGGGCUGACUGACCUGCAGGGGGUUUUGUGUGUCUGUGAACAGAAAACACCACACACUUGAGGACCAUGAAGUGCUCCAGCCCUGCUGGCAUAGCCAGACCAUCUCAGACAACACACACCACGAAAUCCAACUGCACCUCAGUCCCACCAAGGGGAAGUCCAGCUCUCCUGCCUCUCAGUGGAGAAGUGUAAUGUACCCUCGGCCCUUGGAUCCAGAUUAAAUAAGACGAAAAACUGUUGAGUGGGAAUUAGUCAUUGCCUAAUCAUCUCUGGAGAUCUUUACAAACAGGCUAUAUUUUUAUUUGCCACUAAACAGUUUAGGUCAUUCAUACCUGAAGCCUGAGGAACAUGCUAUGUCAUUUCUUAUCUUUCUCUAGACUAGACUAGACUAGAUUUUCAGAACUGUGGGUGCACUUUUCCACAGGCUGUUAAAGAGGAAAAAAUGGGGCUAGCCGCUAGGCUGACAAAGCAGAAAGUUGCCUUUUCUCAGAUGUUACAAGAAACACUUAAUGGUAUUGCCAUAAAAGAUUACUCGAGGCCACAGCUUUUACAGCAGGAUGACUAAUUGGAGACAGCCUGUGAUGUAAAUUAAAGCCGCCAUCUCAAGCAUGUUAAAAUGCUUGCAGCUGGUCAAUCAGGAUGUUAUGCAAAAAUAAAUGGGAAGGAAGCAGUUUUUGCUACCAUUCCAUUUUGAUUAGAUUUUGAUGUUGACAGUGUCGAGUUGGAUAUCUGUACUUAUAUUUUGAAAUUUUGAACUUCCUGCAGCUCACUGAAAAUAAAUUCCCUUUUCUCUUUUUUUUUUCCCCUGUAAUCUUCAUACCAUUUGUAUUAUAUGCCAACACUGCCUCUAGCUACAAAUAGAGCUGCAGUUUGCUUUUGAGCUUGUGACACUGCCAGUCUAGAAUUUAAAAUUUUUUCAGCUCUAAAUUUCAUGAUAAAUCUUUUACUGUGUGUAGUGUUUUCCUAGUAAAUCGUUGAUAGAAGGUUUUAAACUCUUACAGCUUAUUAGACCACAGCAAUUCUAGUUAUUUAUAAAGUUUAUGAAACUUGGAAGAUUUGAAAUUCAAACAUAAGGAGCAGAGAAAUUGUUCCAAAAGUAAGGCUGGAGAUGGGGCUGCAAAGAGUACCUGAGUCAUGCCGGAGAAAGGAAAUGAAAGGGACAACAGGCAACACCGAACAAAGGCAGAAGAGACACGCAGGAUGGUGCAAGGUCAAAGGGCUGGAAGGUUAGAGGUGAAACUUCUGCAUGAAAGGACCAAGGACGGAACAGUGAACUUUCACAGAGUCGCUCAAACUUGAAGUCUGUGGUUCUGACUUCAGAACUCCCCCCAGACCUCAUCAUUACUCAGAGACUGCAAAAGAGGUCUGGGCUCGAUUCAGGUUGAAGACAAACAUCGCACACACACACCCAUAUGCAAACAGAAGCAGAAUAUAACACGCUUCUAAGGUGUUGUGGAUGAUUUCUCUCUAGGAAGGGACUCUGGAAUUAAUUAGAAGCAUUGAGAGGUUUGUUCCCAGGCCAAGGAGAGGACUGUCCCCCAAAUUUUCAAACCAGAAAUGAACUUUAGGAUCCCAGCUUUUAAUAUCUUCUUUGGAUUGUUUUAAUACAUGGAUGUGUAAAAUGAAUUUAAUUUAAUCCAAAAGAAUAGAUUAGAUAGCCUAAUUUAUUCUACUUGUAAUAAAAAUAAAUUUUACCAAUUAU